rnacentral:rRNA from 1 species
UAAUACGAAGGGGGCUAGCGUUGUUCGGAAUCACUGGGCGUAAAGGGCGCGUAGGCGGCUUUGUAAGUCGGGGGUGAAAGCCUGUGGCUCAACCACAGAAUUGCCUUCGAUACUGCAUGGCUUGAGACCGGAAGAGGUUAGUGGAACUGCGAGUGUAGAGGUGAAAUUCGUAGAUAUUCGCAAGAACACCAGUGGCGAAGGCGGCUGACUGGUCCGGUUCUGACGCUGAGGCGCGAAAGCGUGGGGAGCAAACAGG